UGAGGUUGUGUAUGCAUCAGCAUAUAAAGCAAAACAUCAGUUGAUCUGGAAGGACAAAUUGUUUUAUGUGGUUUAAGAAAUGGAGCAAUUUGUUUUCUACAUGUUCAUGUCUUGGAAUAAUUAUCAAUUUUUAAAUGGAGAUGACAACUGUCUUCUGGCUAUUAAUUUGAGAUUGGUUUUUAAUGACGUUCGGAAGUUUACUUGCAAAUGAAGAUCAACUGUUGAAUUUUGUUUCCUGAACGAAUACUUAGUUGUAGUUGCAAAUCGAGAUUGAGUGUUGAUUUUUUUUGUGGAUUCCACGUUAGUUCAUUUUGGGAUUUGCUUUGAUGGUUUUUUUGUUACACUUAAUGGUUUAUAUUAUUAAAGUUGUUUGAUGGAUAUAUUUUGAUUUAUAAUAUAAAUUGUUUACUGAAUUUGUUUGUGGAGUGAUGUAUAAUAGCUAAUGGAUUUCUUAGUAUAA